GAGACCUUAUAGCUCAAUGGUUAGAGCGGCUGUCUUGUUGUCAGAAGGCGAUAUGGUUCAAUUCCCGUUAGGGCUCA